UACGUAGGUGGCAAGCGUUGUCCGGAAUUAUUGGGCGUAAAGCGCGCGCAGGCGGUCCUUUAAGUCUGAUGUGAAAAGCCCACGGCCUCAACCGUGGAGGGUCAUUGGAAACUGGGGGACUUGAGUGCAGGGAGAGAAGAGUGGAAUUCCACGUGUAGCGGUGAAAUGCGCAGAUAUCGGGAGGAACACCAAUGGCGAAGGCAGCUUGCUGGGACGGUACUGACGCUGAGGCGCGAAAGCUAGGGGAGCAAACGGG
rnacentral:rRNA from 1 species